CGUGGAAUUUCUGUGGAUUGUGUUGGGGGAAAUCUACCAAAGCUAGGCAGAUAGAUAGACUCCUUUCCCGCUGCUAAGGGAGAGCAAGAAAAAAAAUAAAAUGAUUGUUUUUUAAUCAGCGUCCCCUUUUGGGUAUGCAGAUACUAAGAGUCCUCUCACUACCAACCAGUAGACAUCAUCUGGCUGGGUCUUGCCGGUAUCAACAACGAGAAAAAAACAACCAAAUGAAAACAGCAACUAACUAUGGCUCUUGGCCCAGACAACGUCCUAGGCGUAGGGGGGAUCGGAGCAAGAGGGAACGCCUAGACGGACGUUUUUAUUCCUGGGCUGCAGUAAGUAGAUCGAGAGGUCGUUCCGCCCCUUGUCCCCGAAGAUGGGUAAUAUGUUCUCAAAAAAUGUUGCUCCAAUCUGACCUAGCUGGCGAGCGAUCCCAGUUCGCGGCAGAGAACAAGACAGCAAGCGAGCGUACCUU
rnacentral:misc_RNA from 1 species